AACGCUGCAGUGCGUUCUUCAUUCUGUUCCACGAGACUCUGGACCAGACCACCGCGAGCAGACAGCUGGACUUCAUGUGCGUUAUUGGUGAAAUGACCACGUCCAGUCAGGAUCCUGUGGAGCUCAUGGGCCAUGACACGCCCAGGACCUACUUCAGCACCUCAAAGAGAAUGGACCAAAUGUCAACUGGAAGUUUUUAUAUUAAUACAGUUUGAAAAGGAUUGUUUUCCUAGUAUAUUCACAAAAGCUCAGGAGUAGACAUGAACCUGUGCACAAACAUCCAUCACAUAGAGACAUGAGAACUCGCUCACACACACACACACAUACAUUCUAUUAUGUAAAUGAAUUUGCAUUUUAAAAGCAGCUGGAAAUGUUAUUUGUUAUUUUAUGGAUUUUUUUGUUCAAAAGGAACUAUGUUGCAUGUAUUUUUUAAAUAUAUUUACUUAAUUUUAGAGACAUUUGUUCAUGGGACUUAAAUGUUCUGAAAAUGUAUUAAUAAAUAUAAUUUACAACAGCAAUGACAUUUGUGUUAUCCUUUUGCAUUACACCAUACUGUUAAUUUUGAACA